AUUGAACGCUGGCGGCAGGUCUAACACAUGCAAGUCGAACGAGUGGCGGACGGGUGAGUAAUGUCUGGGACACUGCCCGAUGGAGGGGGAUAAAUACUGGAAACGGUAGCUAAUACCGCAUACCAUGGGAUGUGCCCAUAUGGGAUUAGCUAGUAGGUGGGGUAACGGCUCACCUAGGCGACGAUCCCUAGCUGGUCUGAGAGGAUGACCAGCCACACUGGAACUGAGACACGGCCCAGACUCCUACGGGAGGCAGCAGUGGGGAAUAUUGCACAAUGGGCGCAAGCCUGAUACAGCCAUGCCGCGUGUAUGAAGAAGGCCUUCGGGUUGUAAAGUACUUUCAGCGAGGAGGCGUUACUCGCAGAAGAAGCACCGGCUAACUCCGUGCCAGCCGCCGCGGUAAUUC
rnacentral:rRNA from 1 species